rnacentral:rRNA from 1 species
GACGAACGCUGGCGGCGUGCCUAAUACAUGCAAGUCGAACGCUUCUUUCCUCCCGAGUGCUUGCACUCAAUUGGAAAGAGGAGUGGCGGACGGGUGAGUAACACGUGGGUAACCUACCCAUCAGAGGGGGAUAACACUUGGAAACAGGUGCUAAUACCGCAUAACAGUUUAUGCCGCAUGGCAUAAGAGUGAAAGGCGCUUUCGGGUGUCGCUGAUGGAUGGACCCGCGGUGCAUUAGCUAGUUGGUGAGGUAACGGCUCACCAAGGCCACGAUGCAUAGCCGACCUGAGAGGGUGAUCGGCCACACUGGGACUGAGACACGGCCCAGACUCCUACGGGAGGCAGCAGUAGGGAAUCUUCGGCAAUGGACGAAAGUCUGACCGAGCAACGCCGCGUGAGUGAAGAAGGUUUUCGGAUCGUAAGACUCUGUUGUUAGAGAAGAACAAGGACGUUAGUAACUGAACGUCCCCUGACGGUAUCUAACCAGAAAGCCACGGCUAACUACGUG